GGGUACAUAAGCAACAUUCAUCCUACCGAAUCAGUGCUUGGAUGCAUUUUAUAGGAUGCACAUAAGAAAAAUCAGCACAGUCUAAUGAAAAUUCCUUUAUACAAUCCUUGGAAAUUGUAGGAAGCAAAAACAGGACGUCAGGAAAAAAAAUACCUGCUGCUUAUUCCUUCGAUCCCCAGUUCUGAAAAAAUCUCUUUCAUAACUAGAAUUAAAAAACAAAGGUUGGAUGGACUGAAUUUUAUCUGCAAUUUUUAGUAGCAGAUAAGGACCUCAAGGAGUUACAAGGGAUGACAUGUCCUGGAUAUGUUGCUCUGGUAAAAGUGUCCUUUACUUGCCUGGCUUCUGGUUCCAUUUUCUUUGAACAUGAAGAUAAAUUGCUCUGAAUUUGUCAUCCUUGCAGUGUUGUGCUGGUGCAUUGCACCCUCUAAUGAUUUUAGAUUUGCUGCAACUUGUGUUGUUGCUUUUGUGCAUAAACCAAAAUAUUAAUAAUCUAAGUGCUCUUCUUCAUA